rnacentral:rRNA from 1 species
UGGAGGAAAGCAGGGGAUCGUAAGACCUUGCGCUUUUGGAGUGGCCGAUGCCUGAUUAGCUAGUUGGUGGGGUAAGAGCCUACCAAGGCGACGAUCAGUAGUUGGUCUGAGAGGACGACCAGCCACACUGGGACUGAGACACGGCCCAGACUCCUACGGGAGGCAGCAGUGGGGGAUUUUGGACAAUGGGCGGAAGCCUGAUCCAGCAAUGCCGCGUGAGUGAAGAAGGCCUUCGGGUUGUGAAGCUCUUUCAGUCGAGAAGAAAAGGUUGCGACUAAUAAUCGCAACUUAUGACGGUAUCGACAGAAGAAGCACCGGCUAACUACGUGCCAGCAGCCGCGGUAAUACGUAGGGUGCGAGCGUUAAUCGGAAUUACUGGGCGUAAAGGGUGCGCAGGCGGCUCUGUAAGUCAGAUGUGA